AGUGAACGCUGGCGGUAGGCCUAAUACAUGCAAGUCGAACGGCAGCACAGUAAGAGCUCGCCCUUACGGGUGGCGAGUGGCGGAUGGGUGAGGCAUACAUCGGCAUCCACUUUUUCGUGGGGGACAACGUAGGGCCACUUCUGCUACCACCGAAUACGUUCUACGGCAGAAAGCAGGGGUUCUUGGGACUUUUGCGGUCACAUAGAGCGGAAGUCGGUUUAGCUAGUUGGGGUGGUAAGGGCCCACCAAGGCAACGCUCCGUAGCUGAUCUGAGAGGAGGAUCGGCCACACUGGAACUGAGACACGGUCCAGACUCCUACGGGAGGCAGCAGUAGGGAAUAUUGGACAAUGGGCGCAAGCCUGAUCCAGCCAUGCCGCGUGAGUGAAGAAGGCCUUCGGAUUGUAAAGCCCUUUUGUUGGGGAAGAAAAGCAGCGGAUGAAUACCCCGCUGUCCUGACGGUACCCAAAGAGAAAGCACCGGCUAACUACGUG
rnacentral:rRNA from 1 species